rnacentral:misc_RNA from 1 species
GAUGAAGAACGCAGCGAAAUGCGAUAAGUAAUGUGAAUUGCAGAAUUCAGUGAAUCAUCGAAUCUUUGAACGCACCUUGCGCCCUUUGGCCAUUCCGAAGGGCAUGCCUGUUCGAGUAUCAUGAACACCUCAACUCUUCAUGGUUUUCCGUGAUGAGCUUGGACUUUGGGGGUCUUGCUGGCCUAUGGUCAGCUCCUCUAAAAUAAAUCAGCUUGCCAGUGUUUGGUGGGUAUCACAGGUGUGAUAACUAUCUACGCUUGUGGUUUUCCACCAGGUAACCUUCAGCAGUGGAGGUUCGCUGGAGCUCACAGAUGUGUCUCUCCUCAGUGAGGACAGCUCUUUGAAUGUUUGAUCUCAAAUCAGGUAGGACUACCCGCUGAACUUAAGCAUAUCAAUAAGCGGAGGA